UGCCGCCCUGAAGGGCGUAUGGUGGAUGCCUUGGCAGACAGUACCGAUGAAGGACGUUUGAGGAUGCGAUAAGCCUCGGGGAGCCUCCAACAUGGCUUCGAUCCGAGGAUUUCCGAAUGGGGCAACCCGCCGGCCGUCAUGGGCCGGCACGGAACCUUGUUGUUCCGGGGGUACGCAGGGAAGUGAAACAUCUCAGUACCUGCAGGAAGGGAUACUCCGUGAGUAGUGGCGAGCGAAAGCGGAUCAGACCAAACCAUGGGCGCGUGAUACCCGUCGGGGGUUGCGUUCGUGGUGUUGAGGGAGCGUGUGUCCCGGUUCCGACGGACCGGGCGGGAGUCAUAAAACGGCUUGCCAGGGGAACAGGCUUGAAGGCCUGGCCGCAGAGGGUGCCAGCCCCGUACCUGGAAGCUUGCCGUCUUCCGAUCAUGUGUCCCAAGUAGCGCGGGCCUCGUGGAAUCCCGUGUGAAUCGGCCCCGACCGUGGGGUAAGUCUAAGCAUACCUGUCUGACCGAUAGCGUACCAGUACCGUGAGGGAAAGGUGAAAAGCACCCCGGGAGGGGAGUGAAAGAGUUCCUGAAACCGUGCGCCUACAAUCCGUCGGAGCCUCCCUGGUGGGGUGACGGCGUGCCUAUCGAAAAAUGAGUCUGCGAGUCAGUGGUGCGUGGCGAGGCUAACCCGUGGUGGGGGAGCCGUAGCGAAGGCGAGUCUCAAAAGGCGUUUUGAGUCGCGCGCCCUGGACCCGAAGCGGGAUGAUCUAGCCCUGGGCAGGUUGAAGCGCGGGUAAGACCGCGUGGAGGACCGAACCCACCUGGGUUGAAAACCGGGGGGAUGACCUGGGGCUAGGGGUGAAAGGCCAAUCAAAUUCCGUGAUAGCUGGUUCUCUCCGAAAUGCAUUUAGGUGCAGCGUCGGUUGAUUGCAUCGCGGGGGUAGAGCUACUGGAUGCUUGCGGGCCCGUGUCGGGUACCAAUAGCAGCCAAACUCCGAAUACCGUGGAUGUGUAUUCCGGCAGUGAGUCGGCGGGGGAUAAGCUCCGUCGUCGAGAGGGAGACAGCCCAGAUCGUCGUCUAAGGUCCCGAAGCGUGUGCUAAGUGGGAAAGGAUGUGGAGUCGCAUAGACAGCCAGGAGGUUGGCUCAGAAGCAGCCAUCCUUGAAAGAGUGCGUAACAGCUCACUGGUCUAGUGGUUCCGCGCCGACAAUGUAGCGGGGCUCAAGCACACCACCGAAGACGCGGCAACGGUCGUAUGGCCGUUGGGUAGGAGAGCGUCCCGCGUGGGGCGAAGCGGCCGGGGAACCGUGCCGUGGACCGCGCGGGAGUGAGAAUGCAGACAUGAGUAGCGAGAGACGGGUGAGGAUCCCGUCCGCUGGAUGACCAAGGGUUCCGGGGCCACGUUCGUCGUCCCCGGGUGAGUCGGGUCCUAAGGCGAGGCCGACAGGCGUAGUCGAAUGGAUGAACGGGUGGAUAUUCCCGUACCGGCGGCGUACCGUAAGAGCCGAACGGAUGAGUACUAACCUCCGGUCGCGUGGCGUCGUUCCCUUCGGGGUUCGGGGUCCGCGGUCGUUGGGAGCGUAGUCCUGGUAGGCUAGCGCACAGGGGUGACACGGAAUGGGAGCCGGCCGCGGAGGUGGUUUUCCGUGGUCAAGCACGCAGCCCGUCCCAUAGGCAAAUCCGUGGGACGCAUAGGGUGAGGUGUGAUGAUGGGCGUCCUUUGGACGCGAUAUCCGGUGGUCCAGGCCGUCGAGAAAAGCCUCGGCGCGAGGGGCGUCGCCGCCCGUACCCCAAACCGACACUGGUGGUCAGGUAGAGAAUACCAAGGCGAUCGAGCGAAUCCUGGUCAAGGAACUCGGCAAAUCACUCCCGUGCCUUCGGUAUAAGGGAGACCCCCGGGCGUGAAGAGGCUUGCCCUCGGAGCGUUGGGGGGUGGCACAGACCAGGGGGUAGCGACUGUUUACCAAAAACACAGGUGCAUGCGAAGGCGCAAGCCGCUGUAUAUGCACUGACGCCUGCCCGGUGCCGGAAGGUUAAGAGGAUCCGUCAGCCCCUUUUGGGGUGAAGCGGUGAAUUCAAGCCCCGGUAAACGGCGGUGGUAACUAUAACCAUCCUAAGGUAGCGAAAUUCCUUGUCGGGUAAGUUCCGACCUGCACGAAUGGCGUAACGACUUCCCCACUGUCUCGACCAGGAGCUCGGCGAAAUUGCAGUACGAGUAAAGAUGCUCGUUAAGCGCAGAAGGACGAAAAGACCCCGGGACCUUUACUAUACCUUGGUAUUGGCGUUAGGCGCGGAUUGUGUAGCAUAGGCGGGAGGCUUCGAAGC
rnacentral:rRNA from 1 species